CUUCUAUCUCUUUUUCUUUCUUUCAUAUCUCAGACUUCUCCUCACACCUCACAUCUCUCACAGACAUAUUCUCUCUCUUUCUCUCUAAUUUUGAUUUCAAAAUUUGAAACACCAUUCUCUCUCACACCGCUUCCUCUUCCCACCACACAUCUUCUUUCCACCAAACUUUCUCUCUCUAAGUGAUCUCCGGUGGUGAUUUCUACCAUUUUGCUCCAAUGGAAUAUAGCCCCGCUGAGAGAGGGUGAUUUCUACCAUCUACAUCAAUGUUUGCCUCCUCUCUCUCUACACAACUCCAAGGAAAUAAUUGAAGUAAUUCUGAUUAUGCUUUUAUGAGAUCAUCCAAAUAAUUGAAGUGACUUCGAUGGCGACAAUGGAGCAGACUAAGGUUGUGGGUACUUGUCUUGGCCUUGCUGGCUUUGUUUCGGUGUCUUGGACCUACUGGCUCUGUUCAAGGAUUUCCCAAACAGGUAUUUUAAUUACUUAGUUAUGUUGGAGAUGUUGAAACCAUGGGAAAAGCUGCUGCAAACUUUAAGUAAUUAGUUUUGUUGAUUAAUUAGUUAUUUUUGUUGCUAAAAUUGUGAUAUAUUUGAACUAUACCUUUUGGUACCUAUCAAUAGCUGAAGUUU